CAGUGCCGCGGGAAUACGAAGGGGGCUAGCGUUGUUCGGAAUUACUGGGCGUAAAGCGCACGUAGGCGGAUAUUUAAGUCAGGGGUGAAAUCCCAGAGCUCAACUCUGGAACUGCCUUUGAUACUGGGUAUCUUGAGUAUGGAAGAGGUGAGUGGAAUUCCGAGUGUAGAGGUGAAAUUCGUAGAUAUUCGGAGGAACACCAGUGGCGAAGGCGGCUCACUGGUCCAUUACUGACGCUGAGGUGCGAAAGCGUGGGGAGCAAACAGGAUUAGAUACCCCUGUAGUCCCUGUCUCUUAUACA
rnacentral:rRNA from 1 species